rnacentral:rRNA from 1 species
AUUGAACGCUGGCGGCAGGCCUAACACAUGCAAGUCGAGCGGAUGAAGGGAGCUUGCUCCUGGAUUCAGCGGCGGACGGGUGAGUAAUGCCUAGGAAUCUGCCUGGUAGUGGGGGAUAACGUCCGGAAACGGGCGCUAAUACCGCAUACGUCCUGAGUGAGAAAGUGGGGGAUCUUCGGACCUCACGCUAUCAGAUGAGCCUAGGUCGGAUUAGCUAGUUGGUGGGGUAAAGGCCUACCAAGGCGACGAUCCGUAACUGGUCUGAGAGGAUGAUCAGUCACACUGGAACUGAGACACGGUCCAGACUCCCACGGGAGGCAGCAGUGGGGAAUAUUGGACAAUGGGCGAAAGCCUGAUCCAGCCAUGCCGCGUGUGUGAAGAAGGUCUUCGGAUUGUAAAGCACUUUAAGUUGGGAGGAAGGGCAGUAAGUUAAUACCUUGCUGUUUUGACGUUACCAACAGAAUAAGCACCGGCUAACUUCGUG